CCGUGCUAGAUGGGGAGGUAGCGGUGCCCUGUAACUCGCAAUCCGCUGUAGCGAGAUUGAAUUCCUGUUAGAGGUCUUGUCGAUGUGAGGCUUGGUAUUUACAUGCGAUGUUGACGGUUGGGUCCUUCGCAAUGCGUGUCUAUGAACCCGGUCAGGUCCGGAAGGAAGCAGCCGUAAGUAGAAUUUCGCAUGUGCCGGGGGAUAGCCUAGCCUGAGUCGAGGUGUAAAGGUGCCGCUCGGAUCGCAACGAUCAAUAACAGGUGCACGG
rnacentral:SRP_RNA from 1 species